AUUGAACGCUGGCGGCAGGCCUAACACAUGCAAGUCGAACGAGUGGCGGACGGGUGAGUAAUGUCUGGGAACCUGCCCGAUGGAGGGGGAUAACUACUGGAAACGGUAGCUAAUACCGCAUACCAUCAGAUGUGCCCAUAUGGGAUUAGCUGGUAGGUGGGGUAACGGCUCACCUAGGCGACGAUCCCUAGCUGGUCUGAGAGGAUGACCAGCCAAACUGGGACUGAGACACGGUCCAGACUCCUACGGGAGGCAGCAGUGGGGAAUAUUGCACAAUGGGCGCAAGACUGAUGCAGCCAUGCCGCGUGUAUGAAGAAGGCCUUCGGGUUGUAAAGUACUUUCAGCGGGGAGGCGUUACCGGCAGAAGAAGCACCGGCUAACUCCGUGCCAGCAGCCGCGGUAAUUC
rnacentral:rRNA from 1 species